rnacentral:rRNA from 1 species
CGCCUGUUUAACAAAAACAUGUCUUUUUGAUUAUAAUUUAAAGUCUAACCUGCCCAAUGAGGAGUUAAAUGGCCGCGGUAACCUGACCGUGCAAAGGUAGCAUAAUCAUUAGUUUUUUAAUUGAAAGCUGGUAUGAAUGGUUGGACGAGAGAGUGACUGUCUCGGUUUAAUUUUAUUAGAACUUUAUUUUUAAGUAAGAAAGCUUAAAUGAAUUUAAAAGACGAGAAGACCCUAUAGAGUUUUAUAUUUUUUAUAGCUUAUCUUAUAUAGGUAUAUAUUAAGUGUAUGUUACAGAAAGUAUUUUACUGGGGCGGUAGAAAAAUUGAAGGAACUUUUUUUAUGUUGUACCAUUAAUUGAUGAAUAAGUGAUCCGUUUUUAGGGCGAUUAUAAGAUUAAAUUACCUUAGGGAUAACAGCGUUAUUUUUCUUGAGAGUUCUAAUCGAAAGAAGAGUUUGCGACCUCGAUGUUGGAUUAAAAUUUACUUUUGGUGUAGAAGCUAAGAAGUUAGGUCUGUUCGACCUUUAAAAUUUUACAUGAUCUGAGUUCAAACCGGAG